AACGCACAUUGCACCCUCUGGUAUUCUGGGGGGUAUGCCUGUUCGAGCGUCAUUGCAACCCUCAAGCACUGCUUGGUAUUGGAUGUCACUGUUGUAGUGCAUCUCAAAGUUAUUGGUAGCAGCUUUCAGCUUCUGGUGUGGUAAAUUUCUCGCCAUGGAGUUAAAUGUCCGACUACUAGAACCCCUAAUGUUUUAAAAGGUUGACCUCGGAUCAGGUAGGGAUACCCGCUGAACUUAA
rnacentral:misc_RNA from 1 species